GACGAACGCUGGCGGCGUGCCUAAUACAUGCAAGUCGAACGAGAGCGACCGGUGCUUGCACUGGUCAAUCUAGUGGCGAACGGGUGAGUAACACGUGGGUAACCUGCCCAUCAGAGGGGGAUAACAUUCGGAAACGGAUGCUAAAACCGCAUAGGUCUUCGAACCGCAUGGUUUGAAGAGGAAAAGAGGCGCAAGCUUCUGCUGAUGGAUGGACCCGCGGUGCAUUAGCUAGUUGGUGAGGGAACGGCUCACCAAGGCCGUGAUGGAUAGCCGACCGGGAAGGGGGAUCGGCCACAUUAGGACUGAGACACGGCACAAACUCCUACGGGAGGCAGCAGUAGGGAAUCUUACGCAAAGGACGCAAGUCUGACGGAGCAACGCCGCGUGAGUGAAGAAGGUGUUCGGAUCGUAAAACUCUGUUGUUAGAGAAGAAUAAGUGCUAGAGUAACUGUUAGCGCCUUGACGGUAUCUAACCAGAAAGCCACGGCUAACUACGUG
rnacentral:rRNA from 1 species